UUGCUCUCUCUCCCAACUUCUUGCUCUCUAUUUCUCUCAUUUUCUUUCACUGUUUCUUUGUUUCUCUUCCUCUGUUUCUCUCUCUCUCUCUCUCGUUCUCACUCUCUGUCUCUCUCAUUCUCUUUCACGAUUUCUUCCUUUCUCCCACUCUUUUUUACUCUCUCUCCCACCUUCUCCCUCUCUGUCUCUCUCAUUCUCCUUCACAGUUCCUUUCUCUUUUUUCUUUCUCUCCCUCUGUUUCUAUCUGUAUCCCAAUCUUUAUUGCACUGUCUCAUUCCUUCUCACUCUCUCUCUCUCCUUCUCUUUCACUGUUUUUCUUCCUCUCCCUCUGUUUCUUUCUAUCUCCCACUCUUUUUUGCUCUCUCUCUCCCUCCUUCUCACUCUCUGUCUCUCUCAUUCUCUUUCACUUUUUCUUCCUUUCUCUCCCUGUUUCUAUCUCCCACUCUUUUUUGCUCUCACUCCAUGUAUCUCUCAUUCUAUUUUACUGUUUCUUUCUCUUUUUGCUUUCUCUCCCUCUGUUUCUAUCUCUCACUCUUUUUUGUUCUCUCUCCCUCCAACUCACUCUCUGUCUCUCAUUGUCUUUCACUGUUUCUUUCUCUUUUCUCUUUCUCUCCCUCUGUUUCUAUCUCCCACUCUUUUUUGCUCUCUCUCCCAACUUCUUACUCUCUAUUUCUCUCAUUUGCUUUCACUAUUUCUUUCUUUCUCUCCCUUUGUUUCUGUCUCUCACUCUUUUUUGGUCUCCCUUCUUCUCACUCUCUGUCUCUCCCAUUCUAUUUCACUGUUUCUCUCUCUUUUUUCUUUCUCUCCCUCUGUUUCUAUCUCCCACUCUUUUUUCCUCUCUCUCCCUCCUUCUCACUCUGUCUCUCUUCUUUCAUCGUUUAUUUCUUUUUCUUUCUCUCCCUCUGUUUCUAUCUCCCACUCUUUUUUGCUCUCACUCUGUCUCUCUCAUUCUAUUUCACUGUUUCUUUCUCUUUUUUCUUUCUCUCCCUCUGUUUCUAUCUCUCACUCUUUUUGGUUCUCUCUCCCUCCAACUCACUCUGUCUCUCAAUCUCUUUCACUGUUUCCCCUCGAUUUUCUUUCUCUCCCUCUUUUACUAUCUGUAUCCUAAUCUUUAUUGCACUGUCUCAUUCCUUCUCACUCUUUGUCUCUCUCCUUCUCUUUCACUGUUUUUCUUCCUCUCCCUGUUUCUUUCUAUCUCCCACUCUUUUUUGCUCUCUCUCCCUCCUUCUCACUCUCUCUCUCAUUCUCUUUCACUUUUUCUUCCUUUCUCUCCCUCUGUUUCUGUCUCUCACUCUUUCUUGCUUUCUCUCCCUCUUUCUCACUCUCUGUGUCAUUCUCUUUCAGUGUUUCUUUCUUUCUCUCCCUCUGUUUCUGUCUCCCACUCUUUUUUCCUCUGUCUCCCACCUUCUUACAUUCGGUCUCUUUCAUUCUCUUUCAUUAUUUCUUCCUUUCUCUCCCUCUGUUUCUGUCUGUCUCCCACUCUUUUUUGCUCUCUCUCCCACCUUCUCCCUCUAUGUCUCUCUCAUUGUCCUUCACUGUUCCUUUCUCUUUUUUCUUUCUCUCCCUGUUUCUGUCUCUAUUCCACUCUUUUGGCUCUCUCUCCCUCCUUCUCGCUCCUGUCUCUCUCAUUCUAUUUCACUGUUUCUCUCUCUUUUUCUUUCUCUCCCUCUGUUUCUAUCUCCCACUCUUUUUGUUCUCUCUCCCAACUUCUUACUCUCUAUUUCUCUCAUUUGCUUGCACUAUUUCUUUCUUUUCUCCCUUUGUUUCUGUCUCUCACUCUUUUUGUCUCCCUUCUUCUUACUCUCUGUCUCUCCAUUCUAUUUCACUGUUUCUCUCUUUUUUCUUUCUCUCCCUCUGUUUCUAUCUCCCACUCUUUUUUACUCUCUCUCCCUCCUCACUUUCUGUCUCUCUCCUUCUAUUUCACUGUUUCUCUUUUUUCUUCUCUCCCUCUAUUUGUCUCCCACUCUUCUUUGCUCUCUCUCCCUCCUUCUCACUCUCUCUCUCUUCAUUCUCUUCACUUUCUUUCUUUCUCUCCCUCUAUUUCUCUCUCUCUCCUUCCUUCUCACUCUCUGUGACUCUCAUUCUCUUUUACUAUUUCUUCCUUUCCCUCUGUUUCUGUCUGUCUCCCACUCUUUUUUGCUCUCUCUCCCUCCUUCUCGCUCUCUGUCUCUCUCAUUCUAUUUCACUGUUUCUCUUUUUUCUUUCUCUCCCUCUGUUUCUAUCUCCCACUCUUUUUUGUUCUCUCUCCCAACUUCUUACUCUCUAUUUCUCUCAUUGCUUGCACUAUCUCUUCUUUCUCUCCCUUUGUUUCUGUCUCUCACUCUUUUUUGGUCUCCCUUCUUCUUACUCUCUGUCUCUCCCAUUCUAUUUCACUGUUUCUCUCUUUUUUCUUUCUCUCCCUCUGUUUCUAUCUCCCACUCUUUUUUACUCUCUCUCCUCCUCACUUUCUGUCUCUCUCCUUCUAUUUCACUUUCUCUCUUUUUUCUUUCUCUCCCUCACUUGUCUCCACUCUUCUUUGCUCUCUCUCCCUCCUUCUCACUCUCUCUCUCUCUCAUUCUCUUUCACUGUUUCUUUCUUUCUCUCCCUCUAUUUCUCUCUCUCUCCUUCCUUCUCACUCUCUGUGUCUCUCAUUCUCUUUUACUAUUUCUUCCUUUCCCUCUGUUUCUGUCUGUCUCCCACUCUUUUUUGCUCUCUCUCCCACCUUCUCCUUCUCUGUCUCUCUCAUUGCCCUUCACUGUUCCUUUCUCUUUUUUCUUUCUCUCCCUGUUUCUGUCUCUAUUCCACUCUUUUUGGCUCUCUCUCCCUCCUUCUCGCUCUCUGUCUCUGUCAUUCUAUUUCACUGUUUCUCUCUCUUUUUUCUUUCUCUCCCUCUGUUUGUAUCUCCCACUCUUUUUUGUUCUCUCUCCCAACUUCUUACUCUCUAUUUCUCUCAUUUGCUUGCACUAUUUCUUUCUUUCACUCCCUUUGUUUCUGUCUCUCACUCUUUUUUGGUCUCCCUUCUUCUUACUCUCUGUCUCUCCCAUUCUAUUUCACUGUUUCUCUCUUUUUUCUUUCUCUCCCUCUGUUUCUAUCUGUCUCCCACUCUUUUUUGCUCUCUCUCCCUCCUUCUCAAUCUCUGUCUCUCUCAUUCUCUUUCACUGUUUCCCCUCGAUUUUCUUUCUCUCCCUCUUUUACUAUCUGUAUCCCACUCUUUUUUGCACUGUCUCCUUCCUUCUCACUCUCUCUCUCUCUCCUUCUCUUUCACUGUUUUUCUUCCUCUCCCUCUGUUUCUUUCUAUCUCCCACUCUUUUUUGCUCUCUCUCUCUCCCUCCUUCUCACUCUCUGUCUCUCUCAUUCUCUUUCACUUUUUCUUCCUUUCUCUCCCUCUGUUUCUGUCUCUCACUCUUUCUUGCUUUCUCUCCCUCUUUCUCACUCUCUGUGUCAUUCUCUUUCAGUGUUUCUUUCUUUCUCUCCCUCUGUUUCUGUCUCCCACUCUUUUUUCCUCUGUCUCCACCUUCUUACAUUUGGUCUCUUUCAUUCUCUUUCAUUAUUUCUUUCUUUCUCUCCCUCUCUUUCUCUCUCUCUCCGACUCUUUUUUACUCUCUCUCCCUCCUUCUCACCCUCUGUCUCUCUCAUUCUCUUUCACUCUUUCUUUGUCUCCCUGCUUCUCUCUCCCACUCUUCUUGCUCUCUCUCCCUCCUUCUCACUCUCUCUCUCUCUCUCUCAUUCUCUUUCACUGUUUCUUUCUUUCUCUCCCUCUAUUUCUCUCUCUCCCUCCUUCUCACUCUCUGUGUCUCUCAUUCUCUUUUAGUAUUUCUUCCUUUCUCUCUCUCUGUUUCUGUCUGUCUCCCACUCUUUUUUGCUCUCUCUCCCACCUUCUCCCUCUCUGUCUCUCUCAUUGUCCUUCACUGUUCCUUUCUCUUUUUUCUUUCUCUCCCUGUUUCUGUCUCUAUUCCACUCUUUUUGGCUCUCUCUCCCUCCUUCUCGCUCUCUGUCUCUCUCAUUCUAUUUCACUGUUCUCUCUCUUUUUUCUUUCUCUCCCUCUGUUUCUAUCUCCCACUCUUUUUUGUUCUCUCUCCCAACUUCUUACUCUCUAUUUCUCUCAUUUGCUUGCACUAUUUCUUUCUUUCUCUCCCUUUGUUUCUGUCUCUCUUUUUUGGUCUCCCUUCUUCUUACUCUCUGUCUCUCCCAUUCUAUUUCACUGUUUCUCUCUUUUUUCUUUCUCUCCCUCUGUUUCUAUCUCCCACUCUUUUUUACUCUCUCUCCCUCCUCACUUUCUGUCUCUCUCCUUCUAUUUCACUGUUUCUCUUUUUUCUUUCUCUCCCUCUAUUUGUCUCCCACUCUUCUUUGCUCUCUCUCCCUCCUUCUCACUCUUUCUCUCUCUCAUUCUCUUUCACUGUUUCUUUCUUUCUCUCCCUCUAUUUCUCUCUCUCUCCUUCCUUCUCACUCUCUGUGUCUCUCAUUCUCUUUUACUAUUUCUUCCUUUCCCUCUCUUUCUGUCUGUCUCCCACUCUUUUUUGCUCUCUCUCCCACCUUCUCCCUCUCUGUCUCUCUCAUUGCCCUUCACUGUUCCUUUCUCUUUUUUCUUUCUCUCCCUGUUUCUGUCUCUAUUCCACUCUUUUUGGCUCUCUCUCCCUCCUUCUCGCUCUCUGUCUCUCUCAUUCUAUUUCACUGUUUCUCUCUCUUUUUUCUUUCUCUCCCUCUGUUUCUAUCUCCCACUCUUUUUUGUUCUCUCUCCCAACUUCUUACUCUCUAUUUCUCUCAUUUGCUUUCACUGUUUCUUUCUUUCUCUCCCUUUGUUUCUGUCUCUCUUUUUUGGUCUCCCUUCUUCUCACUCUCUGUCUCUCCCAUUCUAUUUCACUGUUUCUCUCUUUUUUCUUUCUCUCCCUCUGUUUCUAUCUCCCACUCUUUUUUGCUCUCUCUCCCUCCUUCUCACUCUCUCUCCUUCUCUUUCACUGUUUCUUCCUUUCUCUCCCUCUGUUUCUGUCUCUAUUCCACUCUUUUUUGCUCUCUCUCCCUCCUUCUCGCUCUCUGUCUCUCCCAUUCUUCUUCACUGUUCCUUUCUCUUUUUUCUUUCUCUCCCUCUGUUUCUAUCUCCCACUCUUUUUUGCUCUCUCUCCCAACUUCUUACUCUCUAUUUCUCUCAUUUUCUUUCACUGUCUCUUUCUUUCUCUCCCUCUGUUUCUAUCUCCCACUAUUUUUUUGCUCUCUCUCCCUCCUCACUCUGUCUCUCUUCUUUCAUCGUUUCUUUCUCUUUCUCUCCCUCUGUUUCUGUCUCCCACUCUUUUUUACUUUCUGUCCCUCCUCAGUCUCUUUCUCUCUCAUUCUCUUUAA
rnacentral:lncRNA from 1 species